UUGCACCUAUCUUAUAGGCCUCUCUAUUUUUUGUUAUUGAGGCCUGACCAAGUUCUCACAGCAGCAGCCAGACAACUGUAGGGAUGGAUCCACUGGUGAAUGGCUUAAUGUGCUACUUACCUACUGAUUUCAUCUCACAUUU